CACAAUUAAAAUCUCAAAUCAUAACGAUGGUUAUACAAUCUUGCACAUUGUUACUUUAAUCGUUUCUUUUGGAUACUGUAGUUUUAGGUGUACAGCAUACCCAGACUGGUUUGUCUGAUAACAGUCUCUGUAAGUUUUAUGGCAGUCCCCCAGCCGGGCCUCAGUCUCGUUGCUUGUGGUCGUUGACUCGCUUGCAGCUUGCUUCAUCAUCUUGGGUCUGUUUUCAGGGAGAGUCCCGUCUUGAUUCAGUUUUCAGGGAGAGUCCUGUCUUUUGUCCGUUUUUAAGCAGAGUCCCGGAGUUGCAGUUUCGCUUAGCAGAGUGACAGCACCUUGUUUAGCAUUCGAUGUGGAGCACCAAAUGUUUUGUUUUGCUUGGAUACUUUGCUUGGAUAGUCUUUUCACUCUGCUGAGUAGAUACAUUCACUUGUGUACCUUACCUUUUUAACUCACAGAUCUUUGAGAUUUGUCUUUUUGUCUGGUUCCUUUCGUCCAGCAGCUUGCUGUUGCAGUUGGGACUUGUUGACAUCUAUUUUGUAUGUCUUCCUUGCACCAAACUGCUUGUGUUUGCAGUCUUUUCACAUACCCAGUCCAGAUGCCCCCCUCUUAGCCCUGGUCAUCUUCAGCUCAGUAUUCCUGCCAGGAACCAAGGGGCCCUUUUCUUAAGACACAGCAGUUUGCUCUUUUCCUAAGACACAGCAGUUUCAUUAAUUAGUCCAGUUAUAUCAUUAAUACACAGUUACAGAAAUACAGUGGUAAAUCUCCCUCCUGACCUGUGAGGGCGCUAAGUAGCGAGAACAGCGGAACUCCAGUGCAUUAACUCAUCAACCCGGAAGGGAAACGAUGUGACAGUCGCAGAUUGGAGGGGCGGCUGCACUCGUUUACCAAUGGGUCAUGUGUGACAGCAUAAAAGGAGACGGAGAGACGCAAUUUGUUCCUUCACUGGUUUGAAUUAUAGAACCCGACGGCUAACACAUUCCGGAGCUGUCGCCAAGGGCCAGCACAAAACCAGGAACAACACUGCACUAUUGUCACGGAUAACCUUGUAUCACCCAACAUGAGCACUACUGCACGCACCCAGGACUGGUGACCGUGUUAGUAUAUUGUGGGACGGAUACGCAUGUUUAUUGUUUGGGACUGCAACCCCGUUGUUAUUUACUCCGUGCGCUACACAUGGUUGUGUGUUGCCGGGGAUUAUUAUUUGUCACCAGACCUGGAAUUAUAAAAAUAAAACAACCACUUUCCAA